AUUGAACGCUGGCGGCAGGCCUAACACAUGCAAGUCGAGCGGAUGAAGGGAGCUUGCUCCUGGAUUCAGCGGCGGACGGGGGAGUAAUGCCUAGGAAUCUGCCUGGUAGGGGGGGAUAACGUCCGGAAACGGGCGCUAAUACCGCAUACGUCCUGAGGGAGAAAGGGGGGGAUCUUCGGACCUCACGCUAUCAGAUGAGCCUAGGUCGGAUUAGCUAGUUGGUGGGGUAAAGGCCUACCAAGGCGACGAUCCGUAACUGGUCUGAGAGGAUGAUCAGUCACACUGGAACUGAGACACGGUCCAGACUCCUACGGGAGGCAGCAGUGGGGAAUAUUGGACAAUGGGCGCAAGCCUGUUCCCGCCCUGCCGCGUGUGUGAAGAAGGUCUUCGGAUUGUAAAGCACUUUAAGUUGGGAGGAAGGGCAGUAAGUUAAUACCUUGCUGUUUUGACGUUACCAACAGAAUAAGCACCGGCUAACUUCGUG
rnacentral:rRNA from 1 species